rnacentral:rRNA from 1 species
GAUGAACGCUGGCGGCGUGCCUAACACAUGCAAGUCGAGCGAUUCUCUUCGGAGAAGAGCGGCGGACGGGUGAGUAACGCGUGGGUAACCUGCCCUGUACACACGGAUAACAUACCGAAAGGUAUGCUAAUACGAGAUAAUAUGCUUUUAUCGCAUGGUAGAAGUAUCAAAGCUCCGGCGGUACGGGAUGGACCCGCGUCUGAUUAGCUAGUUGGUAAGGUAACGGCUUACCAGGGCGACGAUCAGUAGCCGACCUGAGAGGGUGAUCGGCCACAUUGGAACUGAGACACGGUCCAAACUCCUACGGGAGGCAGCAGUGGGGAAUAUUGCACAAUGGGCGAAAGCCUGAUGCAGCAACGCCGCGUGAGCGAUGAAGGCCUUCGGGUCGUAAAGCUCUGUCCUCAAGGAAGAUAAUGACGGUACUUGAGGAGGAAGCCCCGGCUAACUACGUGCCAGCAGCCGCGGUAACAC